AACGAACGCUGGCGGCAUGCCUAACACAUGCAAGUCGAACGAGACCUUCGGGUCUAGUGGCGCACGGGUGCGUAACGCGUGGGAACCUGCCCUUAGGUUCGGAGUAACUCCCCGAAAGGGGUGCUAAUACCGGAUAAUGUCUUCGGACCAAAGAUUUAUCGCCUUUGGAUGGGCCCGCGUUGGAUUAGCUAGUUGGUAGGGUAAAAGCCUACCAAGGCGACGAUCCAUAGCUGGUCUGAGAGGAUGAUCAGCCACACUGGGACUGAGACACGGCCCAGACUCCUACGGGAGGCAGCAGUGGGGAAUAUUGGACAAUGGGCGAAAGCCUGAUCCAGCAAUGCCGCGUGAGUGAUGAAGGCCUUAGGGUUGUAAAACUCUUUUACCCGGGAUGAUAAUGACAGUACCGGGAGAAUAAGCUCCGGCUAACUCCGUG
rnacentral:rRNA from 1 species